UUCAAGUUCACAGCCACAUGUUAUAAAAAAAGAACGGAAACAAACCCCCAAACAAAUAGUAACAAAGAAACCAGCACGGGGAAUCUGGCAAACACAUCCCCCAGAGGGUCCCCCUUUGAAGGGAGACGGGAGGCAGUGGGUUAGGACCAGCCCUCGCUGGGCGCACCUCCAGGCGAGUGCUUUUAAGUCACGGACUCAUCUUAAGUCUGGAGUUUUUGCAUCGACGGGAUGUUUGCCUGCCUGGUAGAGUGAGCGCUGGGCCGCUUUGCCUGCCAGCCUACCCUGCCUUCCACCUCGAGGUCACGCCAGUAGCCUGUGGGCCACACUGGCUGGCUGCCCACCGCCAGGCACGGCCACCUUGGCCUGGGGUAGGGACCCACUUCUCUAGCGUCCAGAGAGGGGUACGGCGGACGGGAGGUGGGAGUCCUCCGGCUCAGCUCCCUCUGGUGGGAGCUGAGGACCACAGCAGGGAAGGGGCUCAUCCAUGCAGCAAGUCUGGUCGGAGCCAUGGAUGGAAGCCUAAUAACCUGCAAAGGGUAGCUCUCCUCGCACCCACCCUCCCCGCAGUCCCUGCUGAUCAGCAGUGGACAGGCACCAAGGAGAGGGAGGGGCAGGCGGGGCAGGGGAGGGGGACUGGCCAGGCUAGGCUGGAAGAUUAAACCCCUUUAACAGAGGGGGAAACUGAGGCUGAAGAAGGGACCAGACUUUGCCUUGGUAAUUGCAGCAGCCCCUCACCUUAGGCCGGGGGAUGGCUGUGGGAGCUGGCAGCUCACCGGGAAGGCAGGCAGUUUUGCAGCUGGGGCACUGGGAUCACUGGGCCUUACUGGGAAGCCCUCUGGACCUGGGGCGGGCCAAGAGCCCACCGUGGGCCUUGGCAGCAGGGUCUCUGCCAAGGAUAGAGGCCAGUUGAUCGACCAGUUUGGAGGCCAGGCGGGCUGGGCAGCCCCCGCCCAGCCUGCAUCCCCCGUGCUGCAGGCAGGGGCCCAGCAGACAGCUCACAAUCGGGGAACUCAGGGCGUCCUGGGUCCCAACCCCAUCUGUCCUGCUCUGCUCAACCCAGGACUCCCCAGAGGUUCUGGGGAGCCAGAGCCUCCUUCAAAGCUCUGGGGAUGCGGCUCUUCCUCCCCUAAAAUCCUCCAGAGGGGACAGUAUCUCAUGCUGGCAAACACGGCCACACAGAGGCCAAAAGCACAGAGAGGCAGCAACGUAAUCCCGAGUCGGACACUGAAAAUACAACCUCUAUUUUUUUUUAUCCAAAACAUGUAGAUUGGUUUUGUUGAGUGCUUUUUCUUCUUUUCUUUUGUUUUCAGCAUACUUACUGCAUAUAGAGUCAUGCAAAGAAAACAGUGCAGACAGUGGCGCCUAGAGAAUAGCCACCAGGGCAGCCACGGCAGCGGGGACCCCGAGGGCAGAGGGCUCGAGAGGGGAAAAGAGAGAUGCAAACCCAGGGCUGCGGGAGGAGGCUGAGAGCAGAGAUGCCAGUGCUGUUGGACCCGCACGAAGACACAUGCUGGGCGGGGGAGGGGUGGGUGGGCGGCCCACGGAGUGGGGGGGAUGAGACCCUCGGAAGCGUGGUGGUAAGGACCCCGGUUUGGGAGGCAAGCAAGGAAGAUCCAGAUAUUGCCAUCCUGACCACCUCCCCACGCACUCUGCCCUGAUUGGCCAUUGCCGCGUCAGCACUGACAUCCAGGCCAUCUCCGGGCCUGAGGGGCCCUUAGGACUGAAACGCCAGAGGUCCUUCCUCUGGGGCCGCCUCGGCCCCAGGUAACCCCAGGUGACAAAGUCCAUCUCAGAGAUGACCCAAAAAAAAUGACCUAGAAUGAAAAAAAGAACAAAACCUACCCCCA
ensembl:lncRNA